CCUUAGAGUUUGAUCCUGGCUCAGGAUGAACUCUGGCGGCGUGCUUAACACAUGCAAGUCGAACGGAACUUGUUGGAUCAAGACUUCGGUCAAGUGAAUUCAAGUUUAGUGGCGGACGGGUGAGUAACGCGUGAGGAACCUGCCUCGGAGUGGGGAAUAACAGUUAGAAAUGACUGCUAAUACCGCAUGAUGCAUUUGGAUCGCAUGGUCUGAAUACCAAAGAUUUAUCGCUCUGAGAUGGGCUUACGUCUGAUUAGCUAGUUGGUGGGGUAACGGCUCACCAAGGCUGCGAUCAGUAGCCGGACUGAGAGGUUGAACGGCCACAUUGGGACUGAGAUACGGCCCAGACUCCUACGGGAGGCAGCAGUGGGGAAUAUUGGGCAAUGGGCGCAAGCCUGACCCAGCAACGCCGCGUGAAGGAAGAAGGCUUUCGGGUUGUAAACUUCUUUUAUGAGGGACGAAGAACGUGACGGUACCUCAUGAAUAAGCCACGGCUAACUACGUGCCAGCAGCCGCGGUAAUACGUAGGUGGCGAGCGUUAUCCGGAUUUACUGGGUGUAAAGGGCGCGUAGGCGGGGAAGCAAGCCAGAUGUGAAAUCCAUGGGCUCAACUCAUGAACUGCAUUUGAAACUGUUUCUCUUGAGUGCCGGAGAGGUAGACGGAAUUCCGAGUGUAGCGGUGAAAUGCGUAGAUAUUCGGAGGAACACCAGUGGCGAAGGCGGCUUACUGGGCUCUAACUGACGCUGAGGCUCGAAAGUGUGGGGAGCAAACAGGAUUAGAUACCCUGGUAGUCCACACUGUAAACGAUG
rnacentral:rRNA from 1 species